GUGAGGAGUCUUCCACAAUGGGCGAAAGCCUGAUGGAGCAACGCCGCGUGAAGGAUGAAGGUCUUCGGAUUGUAAACUUCUUUUAUGAGUGAAGAAUAUGACGGUAACUCAUGAAUAAGCACCGGCUAACUACGUGCCAGCAGCCGCGGUCAUACGUAGGGUGCAAGCAUUAUCCGGAGUGACUGGGCGUAAAGAGUUGCGUAGGCGGUUAUGUAAGCGAAUAGUGAAACCUGGUGGCUCAACCACACAGACUAUUAUUCGAACUGCAUAACUCGAGAAUGGUAGAGGUAACUGGAAUUUCUUGUGUAGGAGUGAAAUCCGUAGAUAUAAGAAGGAACACCAAUGGCGUAGGCAGGUUACUGGGCCAUUUCUGACGCUAAGGCACGAAAGCGUGGGGAGCGAACCGGAUUAGAUACCCGUGUAGUCC
rnacentral:rRNA from 1 species